UACAGAGGGUGCAAGCGUUGUUCGGAAUCAUUGGGCGUAAAGGGCGUGUAGGCGGUCUGUUAAGUCAUGUGUGAAAUCCCUCGGCUCAACCGGGGAACGACGCAUGAAACUGACAAGCUAGAGUACCAGAGAGGGGGGUGGAAUUCCCGGUGUAGCGGUGAAAUGCGCAGAUAUCAGGAGGAACACCGGUGGCGAAGGCGGGUCUCUGGGCCGAUACUGACGCUGGAGGAGCGAAAGCGUGGGGAGCGAACAGG
rnacentral:rRNA from 1 species